rfam:Bombyx mori DNA, contig: Bm_scaf2_contig1665, strain: p50T/Dazao, build 2, whole genome shotgun sequence.
UUAACUCAAAUUUGUAUGGAGUUGUAACAGCUCCCCUACGUUUGCCGCUAAGGGCGCUGUUCUAACUCCAUACAAAUUUGAGUUA